rnacentral:rRNA from 1 species
UGGGGAAUAUUGGACAAUGGGGGCAACCCUGAUCCAGCCAUGCCGCGUGGGUGAAGAAGGCCUUAGGGUUGUAAAUCCCUUUCAGCGGGGAAGAUGAUGACGGUACCCGCAGAAGAAGCCCCGGCUAACUCCGUGCCAGCAGCCGCGGUAAUACGGAGGGGGCAAGCGUUGUUCGGAAUUACUGGGCGUAAAGCGUCUGUAGGUGGCUUGGUUAGUCUAUUGUUAAAUAUUAGGGCUUAACCCUGAGACAGCAUUAGAAACUUCUAAGCUAGAGUAUGGUAUGGGCAAAGGGAAUUCCCAGUGUAGCGGUGAAAUGCGUAGAUAUUGGGAAGAACACCAGUAGCGAAAGCGCUUUGCUUGGCCUCAGCUGACACUGAGAGACGAAAGCUAAGGUAGCGAAUGGGAUUAGAUACCCCUGUAGUCC